CGUUCUCCAUUCUCUGUUUCAUUUUUCUCUCUUCCUCCUCUUCUUCUUUGAUUCUUCUCCUUCAUCGUCAGUUCCUCCUCUUUUUUUUUUCUUCCCUUCUUCCGUUCGUUUCUUCUUCCUGUUCCUAAUCUAAGUUGGAGAUGGAGGUUAUAAAGUUCAUGUACUCACCAAGGCAGAGGAUGUCAUUGUACCUGGUGGCUCCAAACUUCAGGGGAGUCAUGGCGGUGGAGGCAACGCCAGCGGUGGUCGUAGGGUUACGGCGGUGGAUGAGGUGCCGAUUGCUGUGGUGGUGGACGAUGGUAUGACGUGGUGGUCGCAGUGGGUGUGGUGGAGUUCGUGGUAACUAUCCAUGUGUGGUGAUGGAUACAGAGGAGGAAGCAGCGGAAGAAAGCAUAUAGUUGGAAAGUACUAAGUGGCGUUCAUAGAGAGCACAUGCAGUGAGACUAUGAAAGCCGAAAGCACAGCAGAACAGAGCCGUGAGAUCUAAUCGGCGUUCAUGGUUGAAUGGUUGAUCUAAGUAGAGCAAGGCACCUUUGCUUGAGAUAGUUUCCGAGUCUGAUAUAAAAACGGGUAUUGAAGCAGCAGAGCAUGCAGCAGAAAUACAGAGAUUGGUUCGGUAUUUGGGAGUGAGCAAUGGCAAUAUGCCAAUAUGUUCACCCCAUUAUGUACAAGCACAAAUAUAGUGGAGGUCAUGGUUCUCAGUGAAUUUUGACAGCAAAGCUGCAAAGGCUUCUCGAUAGUGCAAUAUGAAGACAAGAUCCAUGGGUAUGAAGAAUUCUACUAAGAAAACUAUUAGAAGGAAUCACAAAUAAGUGGACUAUGAAGUUCUCAAAAAACUUGCUUGUGUGACUGAUAAAUCUGAUAGGAGAGCCCCUGAGCAAUUACCAUGUGAAGUUGGUGACAGUGUCAUUGCAAUGUUAGAUGAUCUUAAUCAUAGGAAAGGGCUCUUCCUCUCUGGUGUGUGUUAUUAUCCAUGGCUAUUAACAAGUUUUAGGGUCAAACAUAUGGAACUAUACUUGCCCAAGCAUGUUUUUACACACAAGUUAGACCUUGUAAGGAAUGCCCCUGCCAGGGUUUCGUUAGUUUUCUUGCUCUUUGCGGCAUCCACAACUACAUUAGGGCAAUCAGUGACGGGUUUUGAGUGACUGGAAGGGUAAAGUUGAGGGUUUCUUCAUUGGUCUACCUUUUGGUCUGCAUUACGUUUUCAAGCGUGAAUGGAUUUUGGAGUUUUCCAUUGUUCAGGGACAUGGAUUGAAGACCAAAUGCAUUAGAUGAAUCUGAAAUUUUUACAAGGGUAUACUGUAUUUGAAGCUUGCUAAUGAGGAAUUUGUUUGCCAUUGGGUAAGGGAUGCAAGAAGUUAAGGAAUCUAAUACUAAGUCGCAAGGGUUUGGAAGCAAUUGCUACCGGAUGCAAGGAACUUACAUAUCUUGAAGUCAAUGGAUGUC